GGCCCUGUUUGGGGGAGCUGUUGGCAGUAGAGCUGUUGGAAGUAGAGCCGUUGGAAGUAGAGCUGUCUGAAGUAGAGCUGUUAUAAAAAUCUGUUUGCUGUUUGGUAACUACAUUCGUAAAGUGCUGUGGUAUUUUGUUUUGUGUUUGGUAAACAAACUGAGAAAGUACUUUUAUAUGACAAAAUUACCAUAAAGGACAUUGCAUAGUAUUAUACAACACAACAUAAUAAAACAUAACAUAAAUUAAUACAUAAAUAUACGAUAUAGUAUAAUAUUAUUGUAAUAUAAAAUAAUAUUAUGUUAAUAUAGUAUAAUAGUAAUAAAAU
rnacentral:lncRNA from 1 species